rnacentral:lncRNA from 1 species
AAGAACCUAGCAUAGAAGAGACCUGAACUGAUAGAGCACGGGAUGAACUCUAGGUUGGAAGGGCACCGAGUAAUGAAUGGACCUAAUGAGAAGUAUGAGAACCAUGACCCAACGAUUUCCCAUGAUAACCUGGGCGAGCUGAUUGAGCAUACUGGAAUGUACGGCCUCUCCCGUGGUGAAACUGACCCCCAUGAGGAGUAACACUAAAUCCAC